CAUCGCCGUUCCCCCUCGUAUACACCACUUACACACCCUACACACACACACACACACACACACACACACACACACACACACGCACUCCCUUUCUCACACACAGACACACUUGCUCACUCCCACGGACACACAUACACACACACAUACACUAGCUCACACACCCACUGACCACCCAGAACACUCUGACCCCAGCCCCAAACCUCCAGGCCCCCUUCCACCGCUCUGGAGCGCAGCAGUUGGGGAAAGCUACACCACUGACUUCCUCUCUACUCCCCGCCCUCCGCCCCAACCCCUCCACCUCCACCUCCUCCUCCACCUCCACCUCCCCCCUCCGUGCUCCCACUCAUGUCGUAACAACUCGUAAAGGUGUGAGACUUUGACCCUCCCUGUAAAACCUCUGUCCUUCCCCCCGCCCGGAGGCAGCAGCUGCCAUGGACCCAGCCCUCCGAGAGCUGACCAGUCUCUCCUUUCAGCAUUAAACGCCGGCCAUCGUGUAGAUCCACAUAUUAAAAAAAAAAAAAAAAAAAAAGCCCAGGCCCAGCGAAUGACUCUACCCUGCCAACUGCCUGACAUAUUAUCUAUUUGGACAGCUGGGUACAUACUGGAGUUACUCAAGUCAAGUGCCUCCCUCAAAAGGUGCGCUGGCCAAUUGAUCCCGCUGAUCGUGUGUUAGCGGACAGGGAGCUGGCCCUACCCCAUGUAACGUCACUCUAAAGGCCACAAGCUUUGGGUGCCCAGAAAAGAGUUAGCCUCAAUAGCGGUGAAAGGUCAGCCCGUUGCCGCUCUCUAGGUUGUGCUUGUUAGUUAUGAUAGUCUGCGGCCGGUGGACGGGAGAGGGGGCGGCGAUGAGCGCUGAUGUUUUGUGUCUCUCAGGAUGGGUCGCUUUCUUCUAAAAGAAUAGCAUGGCUGUGCGCCAGAUGUUCAACUCUGCGUAACCUGUGGCAGGCUGAAGAAGACGUCUGUCUCUGCCCACUCCGGCUCUCUCCGGAUCCCUGCCAAUCACCGAACGGCCUCGCAGGUGGACCAGCAGCCGCUGCUUAUGAAAGGGGAAUCACAGGGAUUAAAUCCUGUCCUGCGCGUCUGAGAUAGCAGCUGGAGAGGUGCUGGACCGGACGUUGCCGGAUGAUCGGACGUUUAUUAGCAUGUUAUUUCAUGAAUAUCAUACGGGCAUAAGAACAACCAAGACAAAAGAUCAUUAUAACUCUGAAGAGAUUGGCAGUUGUGUGUGCAGCUCUGUAAGGAUGUUUUUUUUAAGGAAAACGACUGGAUUCAAAUGUCUGCAUCAAUCUAAAGGAGUCACUCUACCUGUCGGCUCUAAGCAAUGUGUCGCCAUGUCAUAAAUCAAGGCAGAGGAAGUACUUUGACGGCACCAUACCCCGUGAUGGCAAAACAAUGAGUUUAAUGAGUUUUAGAAAAGUUUAAAACUAACAUAAAUGACAGUGGGACUUCUUCAAGAUUCGAUGAUGGAACUUAAUUCUCCAUUACAAUGAAUACAAAUGGCCACCAUGACUCCAUAAUGAGUUAUCUUGCCUAACUGAUAGGAUAAGCAAACAGUGGGCCGCCAGACAAACAAAACAGUGCUUCUGAUCAAUCAUGGUGGCAAUGAGGCCGUAAUCACAUCAA
ensembl:lncRNA